rnacentral:rRNA from 1 species
UACGUAGGGCGCAAGCGUUGUCCGGAAUUAUUGGGCGUAAAGAGCUCGUAGGUGGUUUGUCGCGUUGUCCGUGAAAACUCACAGCUCAACUGUGGGCGUGCGGGCGAUACGGGCAGACUGGAGUACUGCAGGGGAGACUGGAAUUCCUGGUGUAGCGGUGGAAUGCGCAGAUAUCAGGAGGAACACCGGUGGUGAAGGCGGGUCUCUGGGCAGUAACUGACGCUGAGGAGCGAAAGCGUGGGGAGCGAACAGG